rnacentral:lncRNA from 1 species
GUGUGUGAUUCAAAAGAAGUGGGAAAGCAGCAGCACAAGGCUACAGUCAAUGUCAUUGCUGUUUUUAAUCCAGAAGAAGGGAGCCUUCCUUCCAGCCAGCAAAGAGGAGGAGGAAAAUGUGGUCACUAUUCCCAUCAGAAAGCAGAGCAUGUUUGUGUGAAUUCGGGAAAAUCGUAUUUUGGUCAACAAGUGCAACCUGUACAUGUUCCAGAUCCUCACACCUGGCUGCAUGGCCUCACAGUGCAUGUGUGCUGAACCAGGAGGCUCAGGUGUGGGUGCAGCUCACCUGAACAGUCUUGCCAGAGAAAUGGCACAGUAACAGGGUACUGAGCAGAGAUCCAUGGAUAAUUCAGUAGGUGACUGAUUAGGUGAGUGUUACAUGACACUUUCUGCUUCUCAUUGUUCUUGUUGGUGUUCCUACAAUUUUGGACCCCCUUAAUACACGGUUUCUGGGGUCAGUGGUACAUGAGCUGGUAGUCAUCAUCUCCCCCUACCAGAAUUAACUUUUACCCAGCUGGAGCUAUUUUAACACAAUUGCUGAGUUUGCUUUAUUACUUUCUUAUCUUGGGAGCUCUGCCAGAUGUCCCUGUGGCCUGUAAAUUCUGCAUUCUUUGUGUCCGGUAUCAGUGCACAUCCUUCUUUCCAAGAUUUGUAACUUUCCCCCCAGAUCUGAGAUCACUGAAGCAUGGACAGCAAAAGAACAGAUCCUCUGUUUUCCCCAUUGGCUGAGUAGGAAGAAAGAGGUUUAGGUGGCUGGCCACAACUUCCAGCGCGGAGCCCGGCCCUGGCGGAGCCCAGGGCGUCACUCGCUGCUCUUGCUGACUGCAGCGGCUGCCAGCGGCUCUCGCCUGACGGCGCCAUUUUUCCUCCCCGCCGCCCGCUCCCUCCUUCCCCUUCUGGCUCCUUCAGUACGGAGUGUC